UACAGAGGUCCCAAGCGUUGUUCGGAUUCACUGGGCGUAAAGGGUGCGUAGGUGGCCGGGAAAGUUCGAUGUGAAAGCUCGGAGCCCAACUCCGAAAUGGCAUUGAAUACUAUUCGGCUUGAGGGUCGGAGGGGAGACUGGAAUUCUCGGUGUAGCAGUGAAAUGCGUAGAUAUCGAGAGGAACACCAGUGGCGAAGGCGAGUCUCUGGACGACUCCUGACACUGAGGCACGAAAGCUAGGGGAGCAAACAGG
rnacentral:rRNA from 1 species